rnacentral:rRNA from 1 species
AACGAACGCUGGCGGCAUGCCUAACACAUGCAAGUCGAACGAGACCUUCGGGUCUAGUGGCGCACGGGUGCGUAACGCGUGGGAACCUGCCCUUAGGUUCGGAAUAACUCCCCGAAAGGGGUGCUAAUACCGGAUAAUGUCUUCGGACCAAAGAUUUACCGCCUUUGGAUGGGCCCGCGUUGGAUUAGCUAGUUGGUAGGGUAAAAGCCUACCAAGGCGACGAUCCAUAGCUGGUCUGAGAGGAUGAUCAGCCACACUGGGACUGAGACACGGCCCAGACUCCUACGGGAGGCAGCAGUGGGGAAUAUUGGACAAUGGGCGAAAGCCUGAUCCAGCAAUGCCGCGUGAGUGAUGAAGGCCUUAGGGUUGUAAAGCUCUUUUACCCGGGAUGCUAAUGACAGUACCGGGAGAAUAAGCUCCGGCUAACUCCGUG